UCCCCCGGCAGUGGGCAAAGAGACACCUUGGUGGUGGUGGCAUUCUUUUAUCAGUCAUGGGCAGAGCAGAUGGCGGUCCUUUGCUCAUCCUAGCUUGGCGGCCAAAGCUGUUUAUGCCUCGGACACAUAA
rnacentral:snoRNA from 1 species